rnacentral:rRNA from 1 species
GAUGAACGCUGGCGGCGUGCCUAACACAUGCAAGUCGAGCGAUUCUCUUCGGAGAAGAGCGGCGGACGGGUGAGUAACGCGUGGGUAACCUGCCCUGUACACACGGAUAACAUACCGAAAGGUAUGCUAAUACGAGAUAAUAUACUUUUAUCGCAUGGUAGAAGUAUCAAAGCUCCGGCGGUACAGGAUGGACCCGCGUCUGAUUAGCUAGUUGGUAAGGUAACGGCUUACCAAGGCGACGAUCAGUAGCCGACCUGAGAGGGUGAUCGGCCACAUUUGAACUGAGACACGGUCCAAACUCCUACGGGAGGCAGCAGUGGGGAAUAUUGCACAAUGGGCGAAAGCCUGAUGCAGCAACGCCGCGUGAGCGAUGAAGGCCUUCGGGUCGUAAAGCUCUGUCCUCAAGGAAGAUAAUGACAGUACUUGAGGAGGAAGCCCCGGCUAACUACGUGCCAGCAGCCGCGGUAA